AAAAGCAAAAAAAAAAAACCCAUACAAAUACAGCACGAUGCAGACAAUGGAUGGGUCAUACGUAUUGAACACAUAUACUCGUACAUAUGUUCGGUACCACAGAAGAGAAGUACUUCUGUGGCGGGACGGCUCGAGUCUCAAGGCAGGCAGCGAUUGGAUAAAAGCGAUGCACAUCAGGACACAAUUCAGACUUUCGCUCAAUCACCCAGGCAACACCAAUACACUUCGGAGAAUCCUUACACAUUAUACGAUGGCGAAUACAU